AAAUUUGAAAUCUGGCGUCUUUGGCGUCCGAGUUGUAAUUUGAAGAAGGUAUCUUUGGGCCCGGCUCUUGUCUAUGUUCCUUGGAACAGGACGUCACAGAGGGUGAGAAUCCCGUGCGAUGAGAUGACCCGGGUCUGUGUAAAGUUCCUUCGACGAGUCGAGUUGUUUGGGAAUGCAGCUCUAAGUGGGUGGUAAAUUCCAUCUAAAGCUAAAUAUUGGCGAGAGACCGAUAGCGAACAAGUACAGUGAUGGAAAGAUGAAAAGAACUUUGAAAAGAGAGUGAAAAAGUACGUGAAAUUGUUGAAAGGGAAGGGCUUGAGAUCAGACUUGGUAUUUUGCAUGCUGCUCUCUCGGGGGCGGCCGCUGCGGUUUACCGGGCCAGCAUCGGUUUGGAGCGGCAGGAUAAUGGCGGAGGAAUGUGGCACGGCUUCUGCUGUGUGUUAUAGCCUCUGACGAUACUGCCAGCCUAGACCGAGGACUGCGGUUUUUACCUAGGAUGUUGGCAUAAUGAUCUUAAGUCGCCCGUCUUGA
rnacentral:rRNA from 1 species